CGCGUAUGUAAACCACCAAAACACAUAGAAGGAAGAAAGAUCAAAAGCCUUCGCUUUGAAAGCUGGUAGAGAGAGAGAGAGAAAACCAAAACCAUAAAACCAAGCACUGAGCGAGUCUGUGUGUGAGAGUGAAAGAAGGAAAAUAAAACAAAUAAAAAAAAAAAGAAAAAAAACCCCCAAAGAAAAAGAAGAAAACUCGUUCUUCAGUUUCUAACACUAGCUCUCUUUCUCUCUCUUAAUACGAGCGCAGACACGAGGCGCACCCCAUUUGAUCGGAGCCUCAUUCUGUUAACUGUCCGAAAGCCGGUACAAUUUCCUCCGCUUCCGUCCGGUUCCGCGAAUUUCGGAUGGACCGGUACGGUUGGACACAGGAGGGCUCGCAGUCCGAUCCGUCAAAGGAAUGGACGGCUCCGGGACCUGAAACUGAGCUUGAAGAGGGUGUUUGGCGGCUGGGAUUAGGGGAAGGGGAAUCCGGGUACCCGGAGAGACCCGACGAGGCUGAUUGUAUCUAUUACUUGAGGACCGGGUUUUGCGGGUACGGGGCUAGGUGUCGGUUNNNNNNNNNNNNNAGGCGCGGUAAUAGGGCCUGCAAGAGCUGGUGCUGGGGAGUUUCCUGAGCGAGUGGGCCAGCCUGUGUGCCAGUAUUACAUGCGGACAGGGACAUGCAAAUUUGGUGCUUCCUGCAAGUACCAUCAUCCUAAACAGGGAGGUGUUUCUGUUAGCCCUGUGUCACUAAAUUAUUCAGGGUACCCGAUACGUCCGGGUGAAAAAGAGUGUACAUACUAUGUAAAAACAGGGCAGUGUAAAUUUGGUGCAACUUGUAAAUUCCAUCACCCGCAGCCAGCUAGCCUACAAAUCCCAGCACAGUCACUGGCUCCGCAAGUUACACCCAUGCCUGCUUCAGUAACAGCUUCCGCAUUAUAUCCCACAGUGCAGUCUCCAUCUGUUCCUUCUACUCAACAGUAUGGAUUAGUAGUUGCAAGGCCUCCUCUUCUGCCAGGCUCUUAUGUGCAAGGUCCUUAUGGUCCAAUGCUGCUUUCCCCAGGUUUAGUUUCCUAUCCGAGUUGGAGUCCAUACCCGGCACCUGUAAGCCCAGUUGCAUCUCCCAGCACUCAGCCGGGAGUUGGAUCAGGCUCCGUGUAUGGGAUAACACAGUUAUCUCCUUCAGCACCUGCUUAUACAGGUGCCUAUCAACCCAUGCCUACUUCAAUUGGUCCAUCCAGCAGCAGCCAGAAGGAACACUCAUUUCCAGAAAGACCUGGCCAACCAGAAUGCCAGUAUUACAUGAAAACUGGCGAUUGUAAAUUUGGAUCAUCCUGUAGAUAUCAUCAUCCUCCAGAAUUGAUUGCACCAAAAACCACUGUUGUUCUUAGCCCUAUUCGCCUUCCUUUGCGUCCGGGUGCACCGAUUUGUGCUCACUAUACGCAAUGGGGACAGUGCAAGUUUGGACCUGCAUGCAAAUUUGAUCAUCCGAUGGGAACAUUGAGUUACAGUCCAUCUGC
rnacentral:misc_RNA from 1 species